GUGCUUACUUUGGCAACACAUAUACAAAAAAUGGGAACAAUAAAGAUUUUGAUGGUCCCUGUACAAAGAUAGCAUGCAAAUUCAGGAAAAGUUCCAUAUUUUU
ensembl:snRNA U6 U6 spliceosomal RNA